rnacentral:rRNA from 1 species
UACGGAGGGUGCAAGCGUUAUCCGGAUUCACUGGGUUUAAAGGGUGCGUAGGCGGCUAGGUAAGUCCGUGGUGAAAUCCUGCAGCUUAACUGCAGAACUGCCAUGGAUACUAUCUAUCUUGAAUGUCGUGGAGGUUAGCGGAAUAUGUCAUGUAGCGGUGAAAUGCUUAGAUAUGACAUAGAACACCCAUUGCGAAGGCAGCUAACUACGCGAUAAUUGACGCUGAUGCACGAAAGCGUGGGGAUCAAACAGG